rnacentral:rRNA from 1 species
AUUGAACGCUGGCGGCAUGCCUUACACAUGCAAGUCGAACGGCAGCGGGGGAGAAGCUUGCUUUUCCUGCCGGCGAGUGGCGAACGGGUGAGUAAUACAUCGGAACGUGCCCUGUAGUGGGGGAUAACUAGUCGAAAGAUUAGCUAAUACCGCAUACGACCUGAGGGUGAAAGUGGGGGACCGCAAGGCCUCAUGCUAUAGGAGCGGCCGAUGUCUGAUUAGCUAGUUGGUGGGGUAAAGGCCUACCAAGGCGACGAUCAGUAGCUGGUCUGAGAGGACGAUCAGCCAGACUGGGACUGAGACACGGCCCAGAAUCCUACGGGAGGAAGCAGUGGGGAAUUUUGGACAAUGGGCGAAAGCCUGAUCCAGCAAUGCCGCGUGUGUGAAGAAGGCCUUCGGGUUGUAAAGCACUUUUGUCCGGAAAGAAAUGGCUCUGGUUAAUACCUGGGGUCGAUGACGGUACCGGAAGAAUAAGGACCGGCUAACUACGUGCCAGCCGCCGCUGUAA